UACUACGAUGAUCGCAGAUCUGACGAGAAACUCUGAAUCUCGUUAGAUCUGCGGAGUUAAGGAAUGUUAUUCAUGAUUAGUAUUAUGGUUGCAGGCAGCGUGGGAACUCCCGGUAUUGCAGGGU
rnacentral:rRNA from 1 species